GGAGCGGUGGCAGAGCGGACGAUUGCACCGGUCUUGAAAACCGGCGACCGAAAGGUUCGAGGGUUCGAAUCCCUCCCGCUCCGCCA
rnacentral:tRNA from 1 species